AUUUGAAAAUAAUGUCUUCAAAGUAAAAUAUUGAGGGUGGCCACAAGGAGAAUAGAUUUAAGUUGACCUGAAUAUACAUUUCAAUUAACAACUGUUAAAAGUGGGUAUUUUUGAAAAAAACAACAAGGCAGUUUCUAAGUUGUUUACCAAUAAUUUACAUUGAAUUCAUAAGCUAUUGAUUGGCUACAUGUUUUUCUUUGUUUUACAAAUUCCCAGAAAGAGAAAUAAUGGGUGAGACAGCUAGUCCAAAAUGAAACUUUUUAAAGCAAUUGUCCCUGGGCACAGGUGUGGGGUGAGACUGAAGUCCCAUACUUUCAUUUCUGUGUGCUUGAUAAAUUUUGCAGCCCUCACAGACCUGAGACUGUUCUGAGAUAUUUUUCUUCUCUCACCUCCUUGUUCAGGACACAUGAACCAUUAACAAGAAAAAUAUUUAAAUAAGAAACUCACCAAGCCAGGAGAAUAAUGAAUACCUGGAUGUGCCCCCUAGGAAUCUGGAUCUCUUCUCUUUUCCCCACCCUGCCCUCAACUCCCCUUACAUACAUACAGCCUGGAUCACAAGACCCAAGAAAACCAUUCCACCAGCUGCUGAGAGAAGAGCCACAAAAGGACCCAGAACUUCUCCAUGGCUACCUUAGAGCACCCUAAAAUGUGCUAACAGCCAUUGUUAGCAUUCAGGAGCUGUUUAUUCCCAUUUUCACACUACACUAAAGAAUUUUAAACAAUCACAAGAUAGACUGGCUGGAAGUUGGUGCUUGGAACAUCCCACGUCACCUAAAAGCACAGUGCUGCAAUCUCAGAAACCCCAGGCUCAGCCAGCAGAGAGAGGAGAAGCAGCUGGACAUUGGAGACUAUGAUUGGACAUUAGAGAGAAGGAGCUUGACUUCACAGAGAAAGCAUGAUGGAAUAAUUUCAGAGAAAAGUCUGGCCAGGGAUGACCAGACUUCAGGGGAAGAUAAUCUUGCUCAAUAUCCUUUUCUGCUCCCCUUCCUGCUGAGAGUCACUUUGAUUGGCAAUAAAAUAUCUCACAUUUACCAUC
rnacentral:lncRNA from 1 species